rnacentral:piRNA from 1 species
UGAUGAAUUGUAGGAGAAGCUUGUUUCUU